rnacentral:rRNA from 1 species
GAUGAACGCUGGCGGCGUGCCUAAUACAUGCAAGUCGAGCGAACAGACGAGGAGCUUGCUCCUCUGACGUUAGCGGCGGACGGGUGAGUAACACGUGGAUAACCUACCUAUAAGAUUGGGAUAACUUCGGGAAACCGGAGCUAAUACCGGAUAAUAUAUUGAACCGCAUGGUUCAAUAGUGAAAGACGGUUUUGCUGUCACUUAUAGAUGGAUCCGCGCCGCAUUAGCUAGUUGGUAAGGUAACGGCUUACCAAGGCGACGAUGCGUAGCCGACCUGAGAGGGUGAUCGGCCACACUGGAACUGAGACACGGUCCAGACUCCUACGGGAGGCAGCAGUAGGGAAUCUUCCGCAAUGGGCGAAAGCCUGACGGAGCAACGCCGCGUGAGUGAUGAAGGUCUUCGGAUCGUAAAACUCUGUUAUUAGGGAAGAACAUAUGUGUAAGUAACUAUGCACGUCUUGACGGUACCUAAUCAGAAAGCCACGGCUAACUACGUG